CCUACGGGAGGCAGCAGUGAGGAAUAUUGGUCAAUGGACGAGAGUCUGAACCAGCCAAGUCGCGUGAAGGAUGACUGCCCUAUGGGUUGUAAACUUCUUUUAUAUGGGAAUAAAUUGUUCCACGUGUGGGAUUUUGUAUGUACCCUAUGAAUAAGGAUCGGCUAACUCCGUGCCAGCAGCCGCGGUAAUACGGAGGAUCCGAGCGUUAUCCGGAUUUAUUGGGUUUAAAGGGAGCGUAGGUGGUUUGUUAAGUCAGUUGUGAAAGUUUGGGGCUCAACCGUAAAAGUGCAGUUGAAACUGGCGGUCUUGAGUACAGUAGAGGUGGGCGGAAUGCGUGGUGUAGCGGUGAAAUGCAUAGAUAUCACGAAGAACUCCGAUUGCGAAGGCAGCUCACUGGACUGCAACUGACACUGAGGCACGAAAGUGUGGGUAUCAAACAGGAUUAGAUACCCUAGUAGUC
rnacentral:rRNA from 1 species